rnacentral:lncRNA from 1 species
CAUGCGCCGUGGAUGGGGCCAGGCACGGGUUCUGGGUGGAAUCGGACGGUUAGGCCACGUCCUGCUGUAGUAGGGGUUAGGCGGUGGGAUAGCCCCGCACCCCUGCAUCCCGCCACGUGGGGGUUCUCCCCUGCCACCCUCGAGCUAACGACGCUUUGAACUCUUAGUCUGGAAGGGCCUACUUAAGGGUUGCAGUAUUCCGUAAGGAGCGAGGAAUUCUUUUGAAGUGAUUCCUAAUUAUGUUGUAAACGGAGGAGAACUGGAAAAGUACCAGGUCUUCUAUUUUGUUUGGCCCACCAUCUUUGCAACUCGGGUGAAGUGGGAGGUUCAACUGGUCUGAGAACACUUGAUGUACUCCAUUGACUGUCUGAAUGAAAGGUUUUUAUGUUUCUGCAGAACACAACAACUGAUCUCCAUCUAUAACUAUAUUUUUUUAAGGCUCACGGGCCAAACGUUCAGUCCUUCUUUACCGAAUCAAGCUGGAGGCUGCGGGCAACGGACAGCACCCCCUUGUGGCCAACCCGAGGAAUUACCAUCACUUUAUUAA